rnacentral:lncRNA from 10 species
CCCCACCCCAGUUGUUGGGUGUUGUUUCUCUCUUUUUGUUUUUCGGUGUUUUUGCCUCCCCUCCUCCUCUUCGCUUUCCCUCCCUCCCUCCCCUCCCUCCCCCUGGCACCACACUACACCUCCUCUCGGUUGCUUUUGGCCGCGUCCGGAGUGUGUCUAAUUCUCGGGCGGCUCGCACACCAUCUAGCGAGGAGGCGAGCGCGCCGGCGAGUGAGGGAGGAGGCGCGGCGGCGGGGGAGGAGGCAGGGCGAGCGGCGGCGGCGGCGGCUGCAAUCCCAGCAGCAGCAGCAGCAACAGCAACAGCAGCAGCAGAAGCAGCGCGGAGCGCUGCGCCGGCCGCCGGCUCCCGGGCUCGCGCGCGUUGCCAAGCGGCCGUUUCCUUAGCAACCCCGCCAGGGGACUGGGGAUGGAGAAGGGAGGGGGAUUAAAAAAAUAAUAAAAAAAGAAAGAAAAAAGAUAGCAAGAAAAAAAAAAGAAAAGCAAGACAACGAAAAAAAAAAUAGGAGGAACUGUAUCACAAUUAUGCAAACUAAGGGGGAAAGAGAGGCACCUUAGAAUGAAGGCUCUCCUUACUGUCGUAAGCGCUAGAGGGAUUCUUUGCUAGAAAAGUCUCCGUGUCAGGGCUGGGGUGAAGAGAGCUGAGGGGCGCUUUGCCUUCCCUCACCGGUGCGUUUUACCUCUCGAGGCACCGUAAGUUUGAAGUCCUCCAAGUUGUGGUCGGCGCCAUCAUGACGCCGGCGACUGUGUUCAAUAGCUCACUGUGAUUGUUGAGAAGUCAACACAGGGACAAGGAAAUCUCAGAUGGUUGUCUACAGUUACAAGGGGGAUUUUUGGACUGAUUUGUGAUUUUUCUGGGAAUGCAACUCAAGUUAGAAGAGGCCAUUAUCUGAAAGAAGAAGAAGCACCAGCUGAUGUGUUGGUUAUUUUAGGGCGACAUUUGCAGUUGCUUGGGCAAUAUCAUGAGCCUCACCUCAUGCAGGUCUGGGUCCCAGACCCAAAGACUGCUCCUCCAUACUCAGAGAUACCAGCACUAACAGAGCAGCUCCUCUUCUUCAGUACAGAUGCUUCUCAACUUACAAUGAGGUUAUACCCUUAUAAACACAUGGCUGUAGGUAUACCACAAAGUGAUGGCAUCCACGGCCGUAUGGAUUGGCUGCUGAGAAGACACCACUGCAGUGGGGGAGGCACAACCUGGGCUGUGCACUCUGCGGAGCCCACAGGAGCUGGAAACAGAAACACUACUUGCUGCUGCUAGGUCAGAAACAGAAAACUGGAAAUAUCUCAGAUACAGCUUGGCUGAAGCAAUAGAGAAAAAAAUUCCUAUGAAGUAGAGAGAGAGAAAAGAGAGGUGUUUUGUCAGUUGGUAAUGUAUAUAUGGUGUUUUGUUGUGUCAUUUUCUAAGUUUCUGAAUUCUGAGAACUUAGAAACUUAUUUACAAUAACCUGUUUUUCAUCUUCAAGUGGAUUUGUAAAAAUGAUGUAACAAAAAAAAGUCCAGUUUGUUAUAUUCCUCAAUCAUCACCAAUAUUUUAUGCUCCCAAAGAAAAUGGGAAAAUGUCUUUUUCCAUUACUAGAUGUAUAUCCAGUGCCCACCAUGACUAGGGAAAAAGAGAACUGGUUAUAUAUGUAUAUGUAUUUGGUGAAUUGAAACAAAUUAUUCUGAUGUGUGAAAAUAUCAUUUUUUGUCUAAAUAUAAAAUAUUCCUAUAAUGGCAAAAUUCCUGGGACAAAUUUAGUCAUUUUCCUGUACAUAGAUAUUAAUAGAAAUUAUAUAUUUAUAAAAACAGAUAAAUUCCUCGGUAAGUUUAAUUCAACUUUAUAAUAUUAGAUGUUAAAUUAUAGAACACAUGAAAAAGCUUUUUCUAUGAAAUUAGAUAAUGUUAAGAUGACUUGGGAAUAUUGUCAUUUCAGAGUUUCUUUAUACUUGAUAGAUUUCCUCAAAUACGAAAGUAAUAUUUCUUUGCCACAAGUUACCCUUUCCCUUCAGAAAAAAAUAGAAAACAAAUAUGUAUCUACUUAUUUCAUAUACAUAUAUACUUAUGUGCUACAAAAAUGUCACUUACAUGUACAUACAUCUCUAUGUUUUAGGACUUUCUCAGUUCACCUAAGGAUGGGGUCCUUGUCACAUGGCCAUGAAAGAUUAGUCUCACAGACACUUUGAAGGGUGAGAAAAAUGGAAUUUAUUGGGGGAAAAGGAAAAAAAAGGGAAACAGGAACUCUCAGCAAAGCAAGAGUCCUGCUAGUUGGUUUUCCCACCUCAUAGCUUGAAUCCCAGAUACUACACUGGAUCAGGAGAGGCCAGGCUCUCCCUCCCCAACCCUCCCCCGACAAAGGGUGCAAACUUUCAUGGCUCCACCCCAUUCUCCAAGUACACAGGCUGGUUGGACAUUCUCCAGUGACCCCCUUAUACUUGGCUGUCUCAUCUACAUGUAAACUUUAUAAUUAAACCUCUAUAAUUUACUCGAGAUUAUAAUGUUUUCACCUCUGCACUGUGAGUACUAUAAGACUAGAGAUUACUACACUAAUUAUUCUUGUUCUUAAAUAGUAAGAUAAUUACUGAAGCAAUAUUCUAUUCAAAAUGAAAAUUGGAUCCACCCCCAGCACACUUAAAUUAGGUGUCUUUUUCUUUCAUUUUGCAAAAUGUUCUCCUUUUAUGCUUUUCAAAUGCAUAUAAUAAAAUUAGAAAUAGAAGCUCCAUUAACAGGAGAGUCCAUGCUAGGUAAGAAUGUCAUCAAUGUGGUUAUUCUGCCUAUGCUCCAAUUCUAAAUGUAUUCCUGUACAAACGGUAGUUCUAUUAGAUACUGAUUCUGCUGGUUUCACCUGGCCAAACAGACACAAAUUAGCGGAGGACAAUAAAAAUAGCAUCAGUUAAGUUGAAAGUCAUUAACACUUAUUCAAAAUAUUGGAUGAAAUUAAACCACAAAGGCAAUUAAUGUUUUGGUGAAAAAAAUGUUUUUUUAAAAAUUUAAGAGAUUAUUUUUCUGUACUAGGGGACAAUUCAAACAAUCCCAGGCUGAAAUGAAUACUACCUACUUAGGGCCCCAUUGUAUGCUGAAUACAUUUCAAUAAAACACCUUUAACAUUUUAUUUCAACUCAUUUUGCUUAUGUCUCCAUCUGUCCUUGAGGAUAGCAUUACAUAUUACUUUUUUGGUAUCACUAGUUUCAGAAAAAUCGUGGCACACAGAACCCAUUCAACAAGUUUGUUGCAUUAAUAAAUUAAUCUGUGUUUUAAAUGUAAGUUACUUGUUUCUGUCCCACACAAGUUAGCACAUGAUUAUAUGAGGCUUUUUAAUUAAUCAACAUAAUCAAUAUUGUCAUCCAAAAAGAUGAAUCCCAAAAUCUCAGUGGGGAUUCUCAGUGAAGAAUCCUACACUCAUGCACACACAUAUGUAUUAUAUGCUUAAGCUACCGUCUCAUUGUAUUGAACACCCCUCUGCCACGUCUUUCAGUAAAGCCAUUUAAGGUAUUUGGUCCCAAGGGAAGAGAGAGACAAAGAAGAGCCACAGGGGCUCCUAAACUGCCUUUAAUUACUUCAGUUCAUGUUUCAUUGGGAAGUACCAAUCAUAGAAUGUCAAUCUCACUGCAAGGGAGGUUAGGAAUUAUAGAGCACUGAAGUAAUAUUCAGUGACCACACAUUUUCUCUGGCACAGUCUUUUUCUAUAAUGGUUUCAGAAAUGUCUUUGCAGAGAGAUUACAAGCAUCAAGGGCAAAAUACAGCACCUCAUUUUAUAUAUUUCUUAGUAUAAGAGAAUAGUAAGAGAUAUGUGGUAGGUACUCAACUUGCUGAUAUUUUGAAAUUUAUUUUUUGGAAAGUGUUAUUCAUUUUCCAAACUGUAGUGGUCACUAGAUAAAUAUCUACUUGUGUUUAUCUUUCCUGAAAAAAAUAAGCUGGGAUAUUAGAAGUUUCAAAAUGGUUGAUAUUAUAACAACUAUGGUGUUUCUUGAGGAGAAGGGAGGGGUUGUUAAGAUGUGGUUAAGAUGUGUGCACAUAAUCAUCUGAAGUGAUUUUCCAAAUGUAAGUGCUAGGGUUCUGAAAGUAAUUCGUUUGAGGUGUGCCACAGGAGAAUCUUUUCCUGAAGAAAAGUUCUAACUAUUGCUCAAACAACUUUUGUCUAAGAAUAACUAGUAAGCCUAGUACAUUUUGCAGAAUUAAACUGCUUCAUAGUUUGGGAAUUGCAUUGACAGAACUACCAAGCUUUUGGAACACAGAAAAUCAUGGAAAGAAAUACAACUCUCAUCAACUUAUUUAUGUGAAAGGCUAUUUUUGAUAUAUUUUUUAUGCUUCAGGUGAAUUAUAAUUUUGCUGUCUCUAUUUGGAUAUUUAACAAUGAAACAACUGUAUUACUGUGUUCACUCUUUCAGGACAUUUCUGAGAAGCAACAUUGAUUUAUUUUCCACAUAAUGUUUAGGAUUAUGUGCCAGAGAAUAUGAGCUGAGUUCAUUCCUGGACAUAGAACUUUAACAUGUAUGCCAGACUCUCUUUUGGUUAGUUAUGAACAUAUUAAGUUGCAAUGAAUGUGAUGAAGGAAAUAAUGAAUGCCACCUUUAGAUCUUGCUCACAAACCAACCAACCAGCAAACACACCCAGGCUUCUUGAGUCAUGGAUUUGGAGAGAUUCUCACCAAAAAUGCUUGCAUUGUUCUCGUAUGUGAAUAAGAAGGUAACUUUUAUGGUCUCAUGUCCUUAAGACUUUGAAUUAUUUUGCUAUCAUUAAUAUUAGUUAUUAUCUUAACUAAUUUAUUAUUUUUAUAUUAUUUAGGUGAUUAUUAAUAAAUCUUAUUAGUCUCAAACCGUGUCACUUAAAAUCAUAUGUUUAUUCCUUCAAAUAGCUUUCUCAGAGGCUUUCUGGCAUUAAAUUUUAUUAGGUUUCCAUUUCUAAAUUUUUCUUGGGAACAUUCUAGUAUCUGAGUGCGUGUUACCAAAAUGACAUUAUAUUUUUAGUUACAAAUGCUAUCUCAGUUUAUAUUUCUGGGGAACACAUAUAUAUUUAUCCCCACACAAUACACACGCACACGCAUACACACACAAACACACAUGUACACACAUGCACACUUGCACAAAACUGAUUCUGUUGUUCAUCACAUAAUUAAUUAUAAAAUGAAUUGAAGAUACUGUACUGCUUGUGCACGAGUCGAUAUGUAAGCACUUAUAUCAAACAUCAAUUCUUACACUUUUAAAUGGAACAUACAUGUCAAAUAAAAUCCACAUAAAUCUUAUGUUCCUAAUGGUUGUGGCAUAACUGAGAUAGACUGUGGGUUAUGCACAUUUCUAUAGCUGUAAUUCCAUCCAUUUGCCUUCCUUUCAAGAAAGCAUAUAAGUCAGCCUGACAGACCAAUGGCCUCUGAAAUGUUCUAAUCCAAUAAAUCACUCAUUUUUACAUUUUUAAGUAUAUUACUCAAAAGUUUAGUUAUCUUAAUAACCAAUGAUUAAUAAUCAAUUACUUACAGCACUUUUUGCAAUGAGUCUCAUAAGAGGCCUGUUCCUGACUGAGCCUUGGUUCCAGUCAUGGUUCUUCCCUCCACUAGCAAAUAUGGCCUAUGGACCUCAGUUUUCUCAACUACAAAAUAUUAAUAAUUUCAGAGAUAAUCUACAUAAUUUACUUUUUGUAACGUCUGCCUCAUAGUAACCAUUUAGAAAGCAUUAGCUGUUGUAACAGUCAGGGAUCAGUAGCAGGUAAUAAAAAGCAAUAGAAAUAUUAUAAGCAGGAGCAUAUUUAAUACAAGAGAUUAGGUGCUUACAAAAUUUCAUGAAGGAUUGGGAGAGCAUGCUCAAAUCUUGCAGAGCCACAACUCAAACUAAUACAUCAAGGUUGCUACUCACACUAUGCAGCCAGGAAGGUGUGGAGUCAGGAAGCCAAUACUGCAUCAGAUAAGUCACAAGAUCAAAGGACAGUUACAGCAAUUGAAGGACCUGAAGACAUUACUACCCUUCAGCUGUUAUGAAAUGAAUCAUUGGACAUUCCAGAAAAACUCCAGGUCUCUACCAAUCUUCUUUCAAACAGCACAAGCCAAAGUAACGAGGAGCAACCCCAUCUAACUCCUCAUUUCCAAAUCUUAUACAAGUGUUUUCCAAGUCACUCUUGGUUUCCAUAUCUUUCUUUACUAGAGAAGUCACUAUUUCUUAUCCUGAGUUAAAGCAAAGGAAAUUAGGUUUGCAAAAAGACCAAAUAUAUAGCAAAAGAGGACACCAGGUUAACCUAAUAGAGACAUAAGCCUGACAGGCACUCACAUUUGAGAGGAAACUGAAUUUGCAUUUAGAUUCCUAGAUGUAAGGGUUUGAGAAAUUUAGUGAUUUGUUUUCCAUCAUCAGUAACCCAACAAUAUUUGUUGGAAUACAUGAGUGUGGAAUCACAGCUAUUGUAGUUAUCAUCAGUGUAGACACUGGUGCUCCAUGCUGUUUUCUGAAGGCUGUAUCACCCCCAUCAUGUGCAGUAUUCUCAUUAAUAAACCACAGCCAUGCCAUGUAAGAUAGCCUGCUAGCUCUUUGAGGAUACAAGCGUACCGAACAUACAGUAUUUGCCCUUAAAGGAUAUAUAAUGAUGUGAUUUAUAAAACAGAUCUAAACAAAAAUCUAAAACAAAUUUUACCAAAUUUUAAGCUAAAUGUUUGCGUAAAAGACCAUUAUGCCUAUCAAUGGGCAUCUUUUCAAAGAAAACUUGCUUAGAUAUUAGCCUGAUUCCUCCAACAGCUCUGGUUACCUUAAGUAGGAUUUUACUGCUUAACAUUGGGCAGUUGCUUUUAAUGUCUGAUAAGAGAUAAAUUUGAAGUUUAUUGCUUGUGAUUACAACUUUUAAAUAAUAGCAUUAAUAACUGUCAGUAUUAAAUGCAGCAACUGCCAUUAAUGAAUGCCAUAGGGACAGAAGGCUUGUGAAUAACACUUUUAAAACCCUCCUAUAUUUAAUUUUUUUCCAAGUCACUCUUGGUUUCCAUAUCUUUCUUACUAGAGAAGUCACUAUUUCUUAUCCUGAGAUAAAGCAAAGGAAAUUAGGCUUGCAAAAUGACCAAAUAUAUAGCAAAAGAGGACACCAAGUUAACCUAAUAGAGACAUAAGCCUGACAGGCACUCAUAUUUGAGAGGAUUUCUCUGCUGUAGGUCAAUGUGCACAAAUAUCAUUAUACAGAAUGGGAAUUAGCUAUCGCACUGAAGAAAGAGUAGCUUUAUUUCUAGGUGGAUUAUUUUUCUAUAUAGAAAAACACAUUUCUUUGUUUGAUAGACAUCACUAUUACCACUAUGAUAUAAUCACAGUCAUAUCUGUGCACACAACAGAAAGAUUAUGUCCCUGCAUUGCAGGAUGAAUUUGUGAAUUUUUUCAUGAUAAGCAAGGGCCUAGAUAUGCAAUAUCUCUCUAACAAUAGAACCAAUGAUUUUUGCAAACACAGUGAUGUUGGUAAGCAUAAAGGCCAGAGAGUAGAGAGCAUAAGAAGGUAGUUGCUAUUUCCUUCAUUUUGUUGUUGUUGUUGAAAAUAUCCAACUGGCGCUAGAGGUAAAAGUGUAAAUAACAUUAGUUUAUCAUGGUCUCUUUAGGACUGACAAGUAAAUUUGUAUUAAUAAAGCAAUGUGCACUAAUUAAAUUUUGUUUAAAGGCACAGAGAUAAAUAAUAAUACAUUUGACUAGGGGAUAUAAGACCUAUGACAGAAGACAUUGUAAUAACUUUCAAAUACAAAUAUUAAACAUCCCCAGGAGAUAAUGUAAUCAUCCUUCCAAUGGAAAGACAAAGAAAACUUCAUGAAUGGGAACUAGAAGAAAGGUAUCUGAAGGCCAAACAGAGAAUUCUGAAUAACGAUAGUAGACUGAACCAGUAAUUCAUCUCUGCUACAUCCCAAACACCUAUUAAAAUGAGGAUUUUUUUAAAGAAAUAAAUUAAACAUACGCUAUCAGAAAAAAAUAGGAAAAGAGACCAUGGCAACAAAAUUUUGUAUGUUGGAAAGCAGAUGGGUGGUUAUAAAUCACUUAGCCAAACCAAGAACACUCCAUCUUAAGCUAGCAGAGUGGAAAGUUGAGAGGCAAGCCUGAUUUAUACUGGAGAUGCCCUAAAAGAUGAAAAAUCUAUCUGCACAAGAUACUUUUGAAAAGAGGAUAAAGAUGGAGCUAAAAUCAGAAGAAAUGGUAGGAAGUCAGAGAGUCACUUAGGACCUAAAAUCUCUUGAUCUCUUCAGAGAUAAAGAUGACAAAUAUCUGAGGAAACCAUCCACUUCAAAAAAUCCUAAUAAAUAAGAAAAGGAAUAUCAUCAGAUGCACCAGACAGUCAAAUGUGGACAAUGGUUUUUGAAUAAGCAUAAUACACAUGCAAAGAGUCAAGGAAAGUUAUUAAAGAAAAACAAGUAAUAAAAGAGAUCAAUUAUACAAUUUAAGUAUGAAAACAUACAAGUUUACAUUUAAAAAAUGAAAAUAUUUUGGAAAAAUAACAUAAUGAAUUCAUGAAUUUUAAGAUCAAUUUGAGUAAUUCUCCAAGAAGAAAGCAGGGAGGAAUAAAGAAGUAAGUAAAUAAUUUUAAAAGUUGAAAGAUAUGAAAGGUAGAAAGCACCAUCAGGUGUCCCAAUGAAGGGAAAAUGUUAAAAUGUAAAGAAUUAAUUCUUUAAAGAAAUAAUAGAGAUAAACUUAUCAGAAUGAAAAGAAGAUGAAAUACAUCAGACUGAAAGGAUGCCCAGAGAACUAUUUAAAAAACAGAAAAAAUUCUUAGCAUUUUUAGAGAAAAAGAGGAUAUAACUUACAAAAUAAUUAGUAUUUAACAGCAGAUGCGUCAAGAGCAAUAUUUAGAUACAAGAAACAAAGGAGUAGACUUUUUAACAUAUUGAAGAAAAAUAACUGAGUCUAGCUUUUAUAACUAUCAAAAAACACCAAAACAGCAGUCCCAUAAUAUUCUUGGCUUAAAAUACCUCAGAAGCUUAGCCACAGAGAAAUCCCACAAUAAAGCUUUUGAAAACUGUACUCUGCCAGGCAUGGUCUUCACUCCUGUAAUCCUAGCACUUUGAGAGGCCAAAGUGUGAGGAUUGCUUGAGCCCAAAGUUCAAGAUCAUCAGCCUGGGCAACAUAGUGAGACCUCAUCUCUGCAAAAAUAUCAAAAAUUAGCUGGGUAUGGUGGUGCAUGCCUGUAGAAUCCCAGCUACUCGGGAGGCUGAGGCACAACAAUCACUUGAGCCUGGGAAGGCAAGGUUGCAGUGAGCCAUGAUUGCACCACUGCAUUCAGCCUGGCCAACAGACUGAGACCUUGUCUCAAUAAUAAUAAUAAUAAUAAUAAUAAUAAUAAUGAUAAUAGAAAAUUACUUAAAAAAUACAAAAGACGUGUAAGAUACAUGUGAGUUAAAUAUAAUAAAAUAUCUUUAAAAAUUUGUUAUUGUCCGCAAAAAGAGUCACACUCUGUAUAAUAUUUGAAGAGAUUAAUUCUGAGCCAAAUAUGAUGACCAGUGACCUCUGACACAACCCCAGGAGGUCCUAAGAAUAUGUUGCCAAGGUGCUUGGGCUACAGCUUGGUUUUAUACAUUUUAGAAGACAUAAGAUAUCAAUCAGUACCCAUAAGGUGUACAUUGGUUCCAUCCAGAAAGUGGGACAACUGGAAGCAAGGGGGCAGGGCGUUCCAGGUCAUAGGUGGAUUCAAAGAUUUUCUAAUUAGUAAUUGGUUGAAAUAGUUAUUAUUUGAAGACAUAGAAUCAAUAGAAGAGAAUAUCUGAGUUAAGACUGGGGAUUGUGGAGACCCAGGUUCUUAUUAUGCAGAUGAAGCCUCCAGAAAGCAGGCUUCAGAGACAAUAGAUUGUAAAUGUUUCUUAUCAGACAUAAAAAAGGUGCCAGACUCUUAUUAAUUAUCUCCUGGCUCAGGGAAAACACCUGGAAAGGGAAGGGGAUUCUGUACAGAAUGUAGAUUUUACCCACAAGAGACAGCUUUACAAGGCUACUUCAAAAUAUGUCAAAAAUAUAUUUUGGGAUAAAAUAAUUCCAUUUUAUUCAGGGCCUGCUAUAUGUCAUGUGAUGCUAUGCUAGAGUCAGGUUGGAAUUUGGUUUCUUAUUGCUACAAAGAGUCUGUUUCUUGGUCUUCUCUGUUUUAAUGUUAAUGUUAAUACUGGUCAGUUGUGCAUAAAUUUCAGUGGGAGGAGGGUAUAAUGAGGCAUUUCUGACCUUUCCUUCCUAUCAUGGCCUGAACUAGAUUUCAGGUUAACUGUGGAAAGCCCUAGGCUAAAAGGAGUGGUCCAUUCAGUUGGUUAGGGGGCUUAGAAUUUUAUUUUUGGUCUACAUUAUCUAAAACAAAAAAAAGAAGCAAACAGGCCUUUCAUUUUAGAAAAACAAAACAUUUACAAAAGGGAAAAAUUAAUGUAUGUACUACACAUGAUAGCCCCGAAUUAAAAUUCCACCCCAUAUCAAUGUGAUGGGAGUUGUGCAGAGGAAAAUCAAUCUGGACAGAAGGUGUUAAGGAGAAGAAGUAGACAGUAACUACAAUGUAUACAUAUAUAACAUAUAUUUGACAUUUUGUUUCCAUCUAUCUGAUUGAAAAUGGCAAACUGAAAUAGAAAUUUAAAUUAAAAGUUGAUUAUUAAGAAUUUACAAAACGAAAUGAUGUAAAGAAUUUCAAAUGGUUAAACUUUCAAAAUAUGUAUUUUAAAAAAAUUUGUAGCAUCUGCUUCUGAAGUUAACUCUGUAAAUCUGUCUUAAGACUUUUAGAGACAUACUGUUUUAUGUACGUGUGUGUGUGUAUGCAAAAUGAUCUGAGUGAUCUCAGUGAAACUGAAGAAGAAAAUAUAGAUGGAAAAGACAAUUGAGGGCCUAUGGGCAAAACUGAGACAGUACAGGGAAGAGAUUCAGUCCUGGUAGACAAGAGACAUGGUGAUUGAGAUCCUAGUGGUCUUCACAUGUCUGGGCAUAUUUCCUCCCCCACCUUCUUGCCUCCCUUAACAAGUUGACCCAAUUCAUGUAGCAGAAAGCUGCCCCCUUCCAACAUAGCUGACCAAGAUGAAUUCCCAACCAUAAAAGGAAAAAUCGAACUAUCUAUUAAUCUUCUUAAGUUACUUCUUCCAAGAUUGCUGAAGCGGGAAUGUGGCAUUCCUGAUUAAAAACCUGAGCAGAUCUAGCUAGCUAAAGACAAGAUGGACUCCAGUGCUAACUUUUCACUGAGUUUUUCCCUCAUUAUAAUUUCAUUAUAAUACUAGAAAUCACAGACCCAGGGGUGGAGAUUUAGCAUACUAAUGAAUCACACAGGCUUGAAGAAACAUGUUAUCAAAUUAAGUAGGUGCUAAACGUUCCCCACCUCUACGUGUCUACAUGUCACACCAUUUCUCACCUCAGCUCCCUUAAAAUGACAAGAGCCAAGCCCUUGAGAGAGCUACUCCCUUGCUUUUCUCGAGCUGCAAGCCUAUUAAACCUUGCCUAAGAAAAAUUUCCAUUUGGCCUGGUGUUAAUUUCUAUUUACCCAAGAGCCAAGAACUCCGAGUCUAAGCUGCAGCAACAAAACCAAUUAUAGAAAUAAAUAUAAAUGGAUAUUUUAAUGUCAGAUACAUAUACAACCACAACAAAUACACAUACUUGUACACAUAUGAAUUAUUUAUGAUCAAGCACAAUGUAAACUUGUAAGUAAAGCCAAAUAUUUUAACUUUUCCUUUGCCUCUGUUGAUAUUCACUGAAAUAGGGAAAAUUAUAAAGGUAGUACAAUUCAUAUCAAUUUGGAAAUAUAAGAAACAAUCUUCUUAAGCAAAUUCAGGUAGAACAUGUUUCAAGGCUGCUUGUUAGUCUAUGUAUAUGUGUAAAUAUGCAUUUGUGUGUAAGAACAUGUGUGUGUAGUUUUGCCCUCUAUAAAUAUUAAAGUUCAGCAUUCAAACCUCUGCUUUGGAGUUGUACGUUGCUCUUUGUAAUAAAUUAAUUCGGUAAAG